rnacentral:sRNA from 1 species
CGGUAAUGGAACUCAGCACAUGUUUGAGGAUGACCCCAGGGUGGCUAUAACCUGACAUCCAUCUCAGAGUCCAUGGCUGCCUGCACUCGCUCCCUCCUUGGAGACCCACCACCCCUGCUGACCCUGCCACGGCCCCCACUAUCAGGGGCCCUGGCCUCAAUCACUGAGACCAUCCAAGUCCAUCGCAGAUACUGGCGCAGCUUACGGGUCAUGAAGGUAGAAGACAGAGAAGGACCCUCCAGUUCUAAGUUGGUCACCAAGAAGGCACCCCAACCAGCCAAACCUAGGUUAGCUGAGCGGAUGACCACACGAGAAAAGAAGGUUCUGGAAGCAGGCAUGGGGAAAGUCACCUCGGCAUCAUUUGGGGAAGAGUCCACUCCAGGCCAGACUAAGUCAGAGACAGCUGUGGUGG